rnacentral:lncRNA from 1 species
UCGCCUCGAUGCCGGCCUCGACGCAGCCGAACCGGCUCUUCGUUCACUCGGCGACGUCGCACGGGUUCACGAGCAACGACACCAAGAAACUGGUGGCCGGUCUGCCGCAGAAGACCAUCUUUGACUCGCUCCAUGAGGCCGGCCUCUCCUUCGGCAUCUACUACCAGUAUCCCCCGGCCACUCUCUUCUACAGGUGCGCCUCUCUCUCUCUCUCUCUCUCUCAACGACAAAAAGAAACCAGUAUUAGCAAUAUAUGGGAAAUAUUUUCAUGAUGAUAUAUGACAUGACAUCGUUGGAUUGCAAUGAAGAGCAUGAUAUCAUCAUCAAUGUUAUCACCGUAAAUAAAAAGGCAUAAGAUAAAAUCUCCCUUCGAAUGCAACGUUGGUUAUAUCGACCUCAUCAUCGUCUUGUUUUUCCGACUCCGUCGUCGUCAUCGUCUCCUCCUCAAAAAUGUAUCACUAUGAGAAGUGUCAGUAUCGUGGUUGCCCAACAAACUCGAGCUAAUCUGGCUCUGACGGCAGCGUUGCCACAAUUCCCUGCUCUCUGUCGUCAGAGAUCGUGGCGAAGACUUAGUCAAACGAGCCACCCAACAUCUAUUAUCUUCGGUUCCUAGGCCUGCUCUCCGAUUGUUCACCAAAAGUCUCCCCGGUGCAGCACAUUGUUUUAGGCAUCGCCUUAGCGGUUUAGGUCAUUUCUUUAGCAUUUGUUUGAAUCAUUGGCGAUACUUAUCUCCCGAUUGACUGAUAAACAUGAUCAUCUCAGCCAUGCCCCACUAGCGAGCCCUUAAAACAUUGACUAUCGGUAACUUGUGACGUUAAUUUUAUUCUCUUUUUCCUUAAAAUAUAGAACCGGAAUAAUCCAUCCAUUUUUCCAUUUUCUUUUAUGCAUUUUUAACACAAGCUUAUAUAAAUUUUGCAAGAAGCAAAAAAAUUGAAAAAUAUUGUCCUUUAUGGAAAUUUUAAAAUAAUAAUAAUAAUAAUUUAAAUCCGAUAUGCUUCUUAUCUCAAGUUUUAGAUGACUUGCUUCAUCUUUCACUAGUAUACUCGGGAAGGCAGGCAGUCUUCAACUCCAGGAUGACCAUUCCUGAGUCUGUUAUGAAUCUCCUCCUCUCUAGCAUUCCUGUAAAUUGCUCGUUCGAUUCAGCUACGACUGUGAGCGUGCAUGCAUGUGACAUUCAUUGGACGUCGAUGACGACAGGAACCUUCGGCAGUUGAAGUAUGUGGGCGACUUCCACCCCUUCGAUCUAAAGUUCAAGAAACACUGCAAGAAAGGGAAGCUGCCCAACUACGUCGUCAUCGAGCAGCGCUACUUCGACCUGAAACUCCUGCCGGGGAACGACGAUCACCCCUC